rnacentral:rRNA from 1 species
AUAGUCAGUGGGGGUAGACGCGAAACUUUGUGAUCUAUCCAUGGGCAGGGUGAAGGUUAGGUAAAACUAACUGGAGGCCCGAACUCAUUAGCGUUGAAAAGCUAUGGGAUGACCUGUGGAUAGGGGUGAAAGGCCAAUCAAACUGAGAGAUAGCUCGUUCUCCCCGAAAUGUUUUUAGGAACAGCCUUGGAUAUAGACGUAUUAUAGAGGUAGAGCUACUAAUUGGGCUAGGGGGCUUCACCGCCUACCAAACCCUAAUAAACUCCGAAUGCUAUAAUAUAAUCUCCAGGAGUGAGGCUGUGGGCGCUAAGGUCCAUGGCCGAGAGGGAAAUAACCCAGACUAACAGCUAAGGUCCCUAAUCGUAUGUUAAGUUAAACAAACGCGGUUCAAAUCCUAAAACAGCCAGGAUGUUGGCUUGGAAGCAGCCAUUCAUUUAAAGAGUGCGUAACAGCUCACUGGUCGAGGGUUUGGGCACGGAAAAUAAUCGGGUAUCAAACAUACAACCGAAGCUUUAGGCCUAAGCGUAAUAGCUUAGACGGUAGGGGAGCAUUCUAAACUGCAUCGAAGGUGUGUUGCGAGACAUGCUGGAGCGUUUAGAAAAGAAAAUGUAGGCAUAAGUAACGAUAAACAAGAUGAAAAAUCUUGUCGCCGAAAGACUAAGGGUUCCUGAUCAACGCUAAUCGGAUCAGGGUUAGUCGGGUCCUUAGGCAAAGCCGAAAGGCGUAGCUGAUGGCAAGUUGGUGAAUAUUCCAACACCUGCUUAAAAUUCGAUGGGGUAACGGAGUAGUGAAAGGACUGCGCACUUACGGAAUAGUGCGUUAAAGGGAGUAGUUAUAGGUUUUGUAGGCAAAUCCGCAAGACCUGAUGAACCUGAUAGUACGGCAAAGCUUCGGCAGCGCUGAUAAUGUCCCUAAUCAGACUUCCAAGAAAAACCUCUAAGUUAUGUUUUAAGCAGCCCGUACCGCAAACCGACACAGGUAGUCGAGAUGAAUAUUCUCAGGCGCUCGAGUGAUCCGUGGUAAAGGAACUAGGCAAAUUGACGCUGUAACUUCGGGAUAAGGCGUACCACAGUGAUGUGGUCUCAGUAAAAUGGUGCAACCAACUGUUUAACAAAAACACAGGGCCCUGCAAAAUCGAAAGAUGACGUAUAGAGCCUGAUACCUGCCCGGUGCUGGAAGGUUAAGGAAGGAUGUUCGGAGCAAUCCAAAGCUUCUGACUGAAGCCCCAGUAAACGGCGGCCGUAACUAUAACGGUCCUAAGGUAGCGAAAUUCCUUGUCGGGUAAGUUCCGACCUGCACGAAUGGUCUAAUGAGUUGCACACUGUCUCUACCACGAGCUCGGUGAAAUUGUAGUAUCGGUGAAGAUGCCGGUUAAUCGCAACGGGACGGAAAGACCCCGUGAACCUUCACUACAACUUAACAUUGAUUUUGAAUGCCAGAUGUGUAGGAUAGUUGGGAGACUAUGAAGCAGCUUCGCCAGGAGUUGUGGAGUCAUCGUUGAAAUACCAACCUUCUGUUAUUUAGAGUCUAACCCGUGAAAGCGGGGACAUUGUUUGGUGGGUAGUUUGACUGGGGUGGUCGCCUCCUAAAAGGUAACGGAGGCUCGCAAAGGUACCCUCAGUACGGUUGGUAAUCGUACGCAGAGCGCAUUAGUAAAAGGGUGCUUGACUGUGAGGCAGACAAGCCGAGCAGGUGCGAAAGCAGGCUAAAGUGAUCCGGUGGUUCUGUAUGGAAGGGCCAUCGCUCAAAGGAUAAAAGGUACUCCGGGGAUAACAGGCUGAUCUCACCCAAGAGCUCAUAUCGACGGUGAGGUUUGGCACCUCGAUGUCGGUUCGUCACAUCCUGGGGCUGGAGAAGGUCCCAAGGGUUCGGCUGUUCGCCGAUUAAAGUGGCACGUGAACUGGGUUCAGAACGUCGCAAGACAGUUCGGUCCCUAUCUGUUGUGAUCGUUAGUAAAUUGAGAGGACAUGACCUUAGUACGAGAGGACCGGGUCGUACGUACCGCUGGUGUAUCUGUUGUGCCGCCAGGUGCAGUGCAGAGUAGCUAUGUACGGAUAGGAUAAACGCUGAAAGCAUCUAAGCGUGAAACCUGCUUCAAGAUGAGUUUACUUUUAAGGGCCGUCGCAGACUACGACGUUGAUAGGUUACAGGUGUAAGGGUGGUAACAUCGCAGCCGAGUAAUACUAAUUGCCCGUAAGCUUUAACUUU